rfam:Pyronema omphalodes CBS 100304, CBS100304, WGS project CATG01000000 data, contig: Pcon_v1_contig366
GGCCGCAUGGCCCAAUGGCAAGGCGCUUGACUACGAUUGACGAGUUGUCAUCCGAAAUCAAGAGAUUGCAGGUUCGAUCCCUGCUGUGGUCA